CAGAGCGAGACUCCAUCUAAAAAAAAAACCUAGAAUUACCUUGUCAUACAGCAAUUCCCAAUACCCAAAAGAAAACAUCAAACAUCAGGGACUCAAAUGAAUACUUGCAUGCUCAUGUUAUCACAGCAGCAUUAUUCGUAAGACUCAAAAGGUGGAAACAAACCCAAUCAACGAAAUGUGGUUUCUUCACACAAUGGAGUGUUAUCCAGCCCUAAAAGGAAAUGAAAUAAUGACAUGCACUGCCACACGGAUAAAUCCUAAGGAAAUUAUGUUCCGUGAAAUAAGCCAAUCAAAAAACGACAAAUACUGUACAAUUCCAUUUAUAUGAGGGACCUAGAAUAGUCAAAUUCAUAGAGACAGAAAGUAAAGCAGAGGUUACCAGGGGCUGGCAGGGGAGGCAGUAGUGGGCAGUUGGUUAAUUGCACCGAGUUUCAGUUUGGGAAGAUGGAAAGUUCUGGAAAUGGAUAGUAGGGAUGGUUGCACACAUUGCGAACAUUCUUGAUGCACACCUAAAAAUGGUUAAAACUGAAUUUUAUGUUGUGCGUGUUUUACCACAAUUUAAUACAAAAGUAAUGCAAAACACCCAUGAUGAAAAAAAUCAAAAUUUUAGAUAAAGACAAGAUGAGCGCCAUGCUGAGCCAUAUUGGAGCCUAAGACCAAGGGGGACACCACUGAGACUGAUUCUGUCUUUAUUUAAAAUUGUGAUAUUUUGGUCAUUCUGGAUUUCGAUUCUUAAAUACUGCAGUAACCUAUGAUUUUUCUAGAUUACUGGGUUUAGUUUUGGGCCCAAGGCAAGUGCCUCACUCUCCUCACCCUCAUUCUGGCCCUGAGGAAUUCCGUUUCCAGCUACUGAAAUUAGAAGUGCUCCUCAGUCCUCCCACAGAGCUGAUCGCAGUCACUCCAUCCCAGCAGGGCAGGCUGUAGGGAGGGGCGCUGGGUCAGGGCCAACCCCUUGCUCUCUGAAUUCCCCACUGCAAUCACUCCACAGAAUAAAACCAAAGGCCUCCCGGAAUACUACUCAGCCUUUAAAAACAAGGAAAUUCUGACGCUUGCUACAACAUGGAUGAACCCUGAGGACGUUAUGCCAAGUGAAAUAAGCCAGACACAAAUAGACAAAUCCUGUAGAUCCCAUUUACACGAGGUACCUGGAGGGGUCAAAUUCAUGGAGCCAUGUGGGGAACAGGGAAUGGGAAUUGUUGUUUGAUGGGCAGAGCUUCCGUUUGGCAAGAUAAAAAGUUCUGGAGUCAGAUGGUGGGGAUGAUUGUACAACAAUGUGAGGGUACUCAAUGCCACACUUAAAAAUGUUACAAAGGGGCUGGGCGCAGUGACUCAUGCUUGUAAUUCCAGCUCUUUGAGAGGCCAAGGCGGGAGAGUUGCUUGAGCCCAGGAGUUCAAGGCUGGCCUGGGCAACACAGUGAAACUCCAUCUCUACAACAAAUUUAAAAAUGUAUCUGGGCAUGGUGGUACACACCUGUAGUCUCAGCUAUUUGGGAAGCUGAGGUGGGAGGAUCACUUGAGCUCAGGAGGGUGAGGCUGCAGUAAGCCAUGAUCACACCACUGCACUCCAGCCUGGUUAACAGAGUGAAACCCUGUCUCAAAAAUAAAAAAGGUUAAAAUAGUAACUGUUAUGUAUAUUUUACCACAAUUGUGUGUGUGUGUGUGUGCAUGUGUGUGUGUGUGUAUGUUAAAGAAAAAGGUAAAAGGCAAACAAACCAACAACAACAAAAACAAACCGAAAGACAGGCCCUGGUCCAUGACUCUCCAAAGUGGUUUUGCAGAAGAAGCAUUCACAGUGGAACCGCCUUUCUCUUUUACCCUCUGAGCUCCAUGGGCCAAAGUCACUGUGUACCUGGCCCCACUUCAUCUGGCCAGAGGCCACUGUUUGUAAAGCAGCAAAGAUAAAUAUUUUCCACCAGUUUGGUUUUUAAAGUAAUUAUGUGUUUUGUUCCCCAAACACUUUUUCUAAUCCUACGUUGUCAACCCUCCUUAAUUCAGAAAAUGCACCGGGACCACUCCUCAGGUCUCCCUGCGAUUCAGUCACCAGUCACAGCUCUGCUGGGACCGCACACUGUCCCCCACACAUGCCGCCCUUGACUGUUGUGACAAAGAGCUUCCAAGAGCAUCAGCAUAACAACAGCAUGCAGAGGCUGCAGGGGAUCUGAAACUAUCAGUGGGGCAGUUGGAAGCACGUCUCUACACAUGGUUUUCCAGGGUGGUAUCUUUGCAGCACGCAGAAAUCCUCUUCUGAAGAGUCCUUUGCUGUAUUCCCCCGUGCCUCCCCACCCCCACCCUCCCACCCCCGCUAAUGGGCAUGUUUCCGUGAACACUGAAGACGAAAAACAUGCGAUUUUGAAUGUGUCUCUUUCACGGUCACACAUUUCUUUUUAUUGUGCAUCUUGGCUGAGCCACGCUUUAAAAUUCCCAGCAACCGUUCCCAAGUCAGUUUUCAAAGAGUCUUGCACCUUUGACCCAAUAAAAACCAGAGAGAACUGGACGAAGACUUGUGGCAUGUCUCGGAAAGCAUUUUGCUAAUAAAAGUUUCAUUUCUUUCCCUUUGAUUUCCCAUUGCUGCUUGGCGCCCUGGGCUUGCUGACCGAAGGUUCGCUCCACAGCCUUGCACACACUGUACAUCUUGACAGGCACCGUGAUCCAAGGAGAACUUUGCACAGUGCUGUGGCCGCAAGCACUGACAAUGCGUAAAGCUGUGUUUCCCUGUUACUUUCAGAGGACCUGUCAUUUUCAGGCCUCGAUGCACCCCCGUGGGCCUGAACACCGCCCUCCUAUUAGGUCUCUCUUGUUCAGUAACUCUCAGGGGCUCCCAGGCCUUCCAAAUUAAGUCCAAGGCCUUCAAGAGGGUGUUCUGGGCCCCAUCAGCAUGCCCAGCCUUCCUGGCCAGCCUCAUCCUCCAGCCCUCCCUAUGUGUCCACACACUGGUCUGAGAGGCUACUCACCAUCCAGCAAAGAGCCUGCACCUUUCUGGGCCUUUCCUCGUGGGUUUCCUUCCCACCUCGGCCCUCGCACCGUCUCCAUCUCAGCCUGCUCACCUCCCACUCCACCCCACACACAGGAGUCUCCUGUUGCUGUCAUAACACAUCACUACGAACUUGGUUGCUUAAAACAACAUACAUUUAAGAUCUCCCAGUUCUGGAAGUGAGGAGACUGGGAUGGCCUCAGUGGGCGAAAAUCAGUGUGAGCUGGACUGGUGGUUUCUGGAGGUGCCAGGGCAGAGUCCAUCUCCUUGCCUUCUCCAGCUCUAGAGGCGCCUGCACUCCUUGGCUCAUGGCCCCUUCCUCCAUCCUCACGGCACAUCACUGCCACCUCUGC
rnacentral:lncRNA from 10 species